UCUAGCUCACCUUUCUGGUGUUGUUCUUGUACUCAUCUGUUUAAUUUAGUUCUGCCACUUCUUCUUGAACUUUUUAUUAGAUUUCAAGUCUGUAUUUUGUGUCCGUGACAGUUUGUCGAGACUGCACUAACUUGAGAUAUCAGAGCUAGUUCUUUCUUAGUAGAGUGUGGAUUACUCCUCUACUUGAAGGUAUACUAGCAUUUUUUAGAGGUUGCGGAUUACCUUCCUCUAAACUGAUACUUCUUCUGUUACAAUAUUGGAGUCUUAUUCUUCUUGGAGAGAGUGGAUUAUCCCUCUUCUUGAAAUUCUUAAAGCAUUUUAUAGGUUGUGGAUUAUCCU
rnacentral:lncRNA from 1 species